GCGGGGCCGAGGGCAAAGGGCCCAGGAGUGGAUUCUGACAAGGCGGGAAAAUGGAAAGGCCUGGCCGGUCCCAGGGGGCCCUAGGAGAGUACCUGGCUGGGCUGGGGUGGCCGCCAGUUUCCCGGGCUGCAGUGACAGUGUGCGCUUCCCGAGGUGCUGCUCUCUCACAGAGCCGCCCCUCCCCCGAAUGGCUUGGAAAGCACAUCCCUAGCUCCUCCCCACAUCCUAAAUUUUUAUUUUGCGUCUAGCUUAUUUGCUAAAUUGUCCACACCAGGCUCCAGCUUGUCAUCUUCCUGCCUCAGCCUCCCAGACUACUAAGCUAACAGACGCGAGCUACCAUGCUAGACUGCUUCAUUGAAAUUUUGUAGAAAUUGCCGGGGAUUUAGCUCAGUGGUUUCGCCGCCUGCUGCGCAAGCUCAAGGACCCGAGUUCGGUCCCCGGUACCAAAAAAAAAAAAAAAAAAAAAAAGAAAGAGAAAUUUUGUAGAAACUAAAGUCAGUGUGUGUUGCAGAGAAAAAUGGACGUCAGAAUCAGUCAAACAGAAACAAUGAAGGAGGGGCUGCGUAGUGACUCAACCCGGUUACUCCCAUCACCAGAGAUGGAGGCAGGAGAAUCACUGCAAAUUUGGACCGCCUAGAAUACAUUGAGAGACCCUGUCUUGAAAAUAAAACCAAAACCAGGAAUGCUUGAGCCUUUCAUUCCACAGAUGAAAACCCAGCACUUUUACGACAUCUGUGAUUCCAUUUGUUUUUCCUUCCACUGUCCCAGAGGCCUCGCAGCUGCAUUCAGAGGAAGAGGUCACAAGGCUGAUGUGCAGUGCUUUUCAGCUAAGCAGGAGUUGCUCCAGACCCUCCCUCAGAGUGAUCGCUGUUGCCUCCUUCUGUGGACAAAUGGAAAGUUCCUGGAGGAUGAGUGUAGAAGACAGGGAAGAACAGAGGAAGGAAGGAAGGAAGGUUGAAAGUGGCUUCCAAGGGGCCCUAGCCUCCUUCGGCAUCGGCCUUGUUUUCUCUCUGUUUUGGUCACUGCCAUGGUGGCCACUAACAUCUAGGUCUUCAUCUUCUUACAGGGGCUAAAUAGUCUUCCUCAAGCCUAGAAGAAUCACAGAAUUUGAGAUACUGAAAGAUAUUUCAGAAGAUGCAUCCAGGAGCCCAAUCUAUUGUAGUUGAGAAGAUAAACCCAAAAAGUGAUAUUACUUAUUCAAAGUUAAAUAAUGAAUCUACUGCACCCUGAUCUGCUAAGUUAUCUCUGUUGUUCCUCUCCACUGACUGAUCCAACCCAGACAGGAUGGGUACAUGCAAUAAUCUCAGAAUUAGCCAGAGGUUGGAAUCCAUCAUGGAGCUCUGAGAAGAAGCUGCUGCAGCCUCACUGCCUCCUUCACUUCCCGUGAAAACCUUGCAUGCUCUGGAGCCUGGUGAAGAUGGAGCUUUGAGGAGCCUGCCCAUCUGUCUUCCUCAGGGCUGGCCUGGAAUCCACCUCAGUGUUUUCUACCAAUACUGGUCUUUCGAAUAUUGGUACUGGAGAGGCAGGCAGCCUAGACCUUUUGUUCCAGUAGGAAUGGGUUCAGAUUGCUUUGCACUCAUGCCUGGCACCUGGCUCCAAUGGCUUGGAGGUAGCUGGAACAGUUUGAGAUCAUGUGAGUGUUGGUUCUCACUGUCAUCUGGGUUCUUUCAUUGUUCAAUAGGUAGAUUCAAGACUUGUCUCCAGAUGGCCUUUCCACACUGUCUCCUUGGAGGUACAGGCUGACUUCUUACACACUUUCCCCAGGCUCUCAAGAGGAUUAGGCUUGAAACUAGCACACUGUCACUUCUUCCAGUUCUGUC
ensembl:lncRNA